rnacentral:rRNA from 1 species
GACGAACGCUGGCGGCGUGCCUAAUACAUGCAAGUCGAGCGGACGAUUUUGGAGCUUGCUCCAAAAUCGUUAGCGGCGGACGGGUGAGUAACACGUGGGCAACCUACCUUAACGACUGGGAUAACUCCGGGAAACCGGGGCUAAUACCGGAUAAUAUCUAGCACCUCCUGGUGCAAGAUUAAAAGAGGGCCUCUGGCUCUCACGUUGAGAUGGGCCCGCGGCGCAUUAGCUAGUUGGAGAGGUAAAGGCUCCCCAAGGCGACGAUGCGUAGCCGACCUGAGAGGGUGAUCGGCCACACUGGGACUGAGACACGGCCCAGACUCCUACGGGAGGCAGCAGUAGGGAAUCUUCCGCAAUGGACGAAAGUCUGACGAAGCAACGCCGCGUGAGUGAAGAAGGGUUUCGGCUCGUAAAGCUCUGUUAUGAGGGAAGAACAAGUGCCAUUCAAAUAGGUGGCACCUUGACGGUACCUCAUCAGAAAGCCACGGCUAACUACGUGCCAGCAGCCGCCGUAAGAC